rnacentral:rRNA from 1 species
AGACGGUGAGUAACGCGUGGGAACGACCUUUUGCUACGGAAUAACUCAGGGAAACUUGUGCUAAUACCGUAUGUGCCUUCGGGGAAAGAUUAUCGGCAAAGGAUCGGCCCGCGUUGGAUUAGCUAGUUGGUGAGGUAAAGGCUCACCAAGGCGACGAUCCAUAGCUGGUCUGAGAGGAUGAUCAGCCACACUGGGACUGAGACACGGCCCAGACUCCUACGGGAGGCAGCAGAC